rnacentral:lncRNA from 1 species
UACUGGUUGAAAGCUUGUUUGCCUGCAUAACAACAAGAAGCCAGGGGCCUGAAUAGCCCCACAAGUGAGUCAAGUUAGCUGCAAGGAGAACUUCCACAAAUGGAAAGGGUAGUGUACCACAGAAAAGGAUUCAGGAAUUCUGGACUAGGAGUUCCAUCAUAAAGUUAUAACAUAACCUUGUGCAAGUUACCUUGUCUGUUACAUCCCUGCAGUAUGUGUCCACUCGUUCUCAGUUGCCUGAGCUAGGAAUCUGUGAGAGGCAGCUAAGACACUGAUACAUGUCCUUGAAAGGGAGUAAAAGCGUUUCCCUCCCAAAAGUUGAAGAGGAUCCUAGGAAGAACCCUACAUAAUGCAUUUGACUACUGAGAUAUAGAGAGAUGAGUGCGGGAUGGUUAACAGGGCUUAAAAAACUCCUUUCUUCAUCUAACAGGCACCCCUGGGUACUUAAAACAGUGACACAUUGGGGAAUUUAAAAAUGUACUAAAGUACAAACAGAAUUCAGGAAACAUGAAGAAAAUAAUAUGAGGUUCCAUCACACAAUGACAAUUAUGGACAUUUUUUAUGAUUAUGAGCAGUUUAAUGUUUUUUAUUGGCA